UACGUAGGUGGCAAGCGAUACUCGGAAUCACUAGGCGUAAAGCGCAGGUAGGCGGUUGGAUAAGUCUGUUGUGAAAGCUCCCGGCUUAACUGGGAGAGGUCAACGGAAACUAUCCGGCUAGAGUGUGGUAGAGGUAGCUGGAAUUCCCGGUGUAGCGGUGAAAUGCGUAGAUAUCGGGAGGAAUACCUAUGGCGAAAGCAGGCUACUGGACCAUCACUGACGCUGAUCUGCGAAAGCUAGGGGGAGCAAACAGG
rnacentral:rRNA from 1 species